rnacentral:tRNA from 1 species
GGGGUUGUGGUUCAGUGUAGAGCGCUUGCCUAGCAUGCAUGAGGCACUGGGUUCGAUCCACAGCACCACA